CCUCCAGUUGGCGGCACAUCUGUGACACUGUUUGGCCAAGCCCGCUCACCUUGCCCAAGUCGUGUUGUAAAUGUGGCCCUGCUGGGGAGCCACGUUCCUCCUGCAGGUGGCCCAUGCACCGUGGUCACUUCGCAGCGGGGGAACGUGGCGAUGCACAGCUGAUCUUGUCUUGAACAGCUGCACAUGCUGAUGCCCACUGGCUUCAGUGGAAUCAAUAACCACCACCGGAGCCCAGAAUGAAGCCGGCCGUGUUGAUCUCUGGAACAAAUAAAAUAAGAGAUCUCCAAUUGUGAAAUUUUAUACCAAAAACGCUCUACUAAAGUAUACCUACGCAUCUCUAAUAAUUUCAGUAAUAAUAAAACUCAGCAUAGUAGCAAAAAGCGAGUCAAUUUAAAGGCACAAUACUUGAUCGGUGACUGGCAAAAUAAUUUGACCUACUGUAUCAUUUUAAGGCUGUGAAAGGCAUACGUGUAUUAUUUGUAAUCUCGUGUUAAGACCUGUCACGUCUCAUUCAGUGCGAGCCUUAAAGUGAUUGUAAAGCAUCCUUUGUUUCAUUUGGGGCUUUUGGGGGUUUUGAUUUUUUUUUUCCUUCUGUUUUUUGGGGUUUUUUUGGUGUGCGUGUGUGUUGUUUCGUUUUUGUUUUUUUUUUUUAAGGAAAACAAAAUCUGAAAAUCGGGAUAAGCAAACGAACGAACAAACAACAACACAAACAAACAACAACAGGAAAACAAAACAAACAAAAACGACAACAAACUUCUUCAAACGUUUGUUGUCUCCAUCAAAAGAGGUGAUUUGUGAAGUGAACCUGCCAUCCUCUGAGCAAUUUUGCGCUGCUGUCAUUAAAAGACACAAGUGCUAAACCCCUGACAAUGACCCUGAGUUUCUCCUCCCAAGAUUUCACUUGUUUCUUUUUCUACAAGGACUCACCCUUAAUACCAGUGUAGAUACACUCUAAUCAGCCUCACACCCUGGUUAAAGACUGUCUUUAGUCCUUAGCUCUCAUCUACACAUCCAACUUUUCAUCGGCACAAGCAUGAGAAAGGAAUGGAUGGGCAAACAACUCCUCUCUUCCUCAUGGACACGUCCUCCAGGAGACAGCACCCUCAUUUCCAGAAGCACCAAGAGAAGGUUGCACGUCAAACUUUAGGUCUGAUUUGGAGAGGUGAACGCGUCUGACGGAACAGCUGGACCCUGCCACUUCACACCAAGACAGUGAGAUGAGC
rnacentral:lncRNA from 1 species